rnacentral:rRNA from 1 species
GGGGGGGGGGGGGGGGGGGGGGGGGGCGUGCGGGGCGGGCGGGGGGGCGGGGGGGGUGCUGGGCGGCCGUUGGGGGCGGGGGGGGGAGUAAGCCGUGGAGAACCUACCUGUAAGACUGGGCUACUCUGGGGGCACCGGAGCGACUACGCGAUGAUCUCUUCAACCGUCUGGUUCCAUAUUGACAGACGGCUGUGCUGUUACGUCUCGCUGGUGCCUCGCCGCGUGCGUUGGUUGGUCAGGUAACGGCUUACCAAGGCCACGCUGCGUAGCCGCACUGAGAGGGUGAUCGGCCACACUGGAACUGAGACACGGUCAAGACGCCGACGGGAGGCAGCAGUAGGGAAUCUUCCGCAAUGGGCGAAAGCCUGACGGAGCAACGCCGCGUGAGUGAUGAAGGUCUUCGGAUCGUAAAGCUCUGUUAUUAGGGAAGAACAAAUGUGUAAGUAACUAUGCACGGCGUGACGGUACCUAAUCAGAAAGCCACGGCUAACUACGUG